AAAGAUAGAGGAGCGAAAGUUAAUAGUAGUAGUAAUGAGAUAAUCACAGUGACUUACUAUGAAAGGAGCAAUCGCCGAAGGUUACAGCUGAUGCUUUAAAGCUGUAAUACUGGUGAUGUAUAAAAUAUAUGCAUCACUGUCACAAAUUAUUUUGUGGUGAGCUAUCAUU
rnacentral:ncRNA from 1 species